UAUAGUGCGACGCAUGUGUCCAGUAAAUAAACCUGCCGUUUCUUCCCUCAUCUCCCAAAAAUGGACAUCUUCAGCCAUGGCAAAGAUUGAUCCAGAAAUCCGCCGGGGUGCGACGCCGAGUCACCGCUAGUUCCAAUCCCACCCGCGGCGCCGACUGCCCUCCCUCUCCCCACUCGCCGUUCCCCCAAAAUGAAACCCUCGAUCCAACCACUGGUCAUACAUUUUGUUCCCAGUCCUUCAAUUUCUCAGCGACAAAUCUUACAAAGCAACCACUAUGGGAUACAUCAGAUCUGCAAUGAGUUGAUGUAUGUGUGGUGUACAGAUGGGUGGUAGAGGAGUCAUCAAGGAGACUAUUUGAUCUGAAUCGGUACACCUGUGUUAGCUUAUUUUGUUUGUUUUUGCCUGAGCUAAAUUGUUUGAAUUUGUAGGAUGUAACCUGUAAUAUGUGGUCGCUAUAAUACCUGUAGAGCAGACCACAUUCGUUACCAUUUAGGCAUAUAAUGUGGGAAUCAAGAACCAACCGCUCCAUGCUUAAUGACACCACACAGCUAUUGACAGAAUUGAUCUUGGGAUAUUACGAAAAUAAUAAUCAAAUCUAGCCCUUGCUUGGUCGGCUAUACGACCUGAAUCAUCAUUAAUGAAAUCAUCCAAGUAUAUUUACAUAGGAAAACGACAAUCUUGCCAUUUCGUGCUCAAUCAUGCCCAAGGAAGAGAUGUUGAUGGAUCUUUUAUUUGGUAUUGACAGAUGCACAUUCAAUUAUAUUAUGCUCAUGUCAGAGCUAUGAGACAGAUUAGGGCAUGAGUCGUGAGAUCCAAACUGUGGAUACUUAGUAAACUGAAGGUACAGAUUCAUGAUUCAUCUAGUUUUUUAAUACUAAUUAUGCAAUGCAUAGACCACAAAUUUUUUUAGUGCUAGAUCAAAUUGGCAAACAUAGUCAUGUGUGUCCGCAGAAAUACCUGAUUCGUCUGAAAUCCAUAUGAUUUCCUUUUGAAGAAGGUUACAUAGAGUAAAAUAGAAAUAUUCUAAGGUCCCUUUACUAAAGGAUCUCCUUGUACACAAUAUUUUUUGCCGAAUUAUUUUCCUUGAUUCUUCAUCUGAAAUUAGAACUUUAGGUCCAUCUCUACUUGUGACUCUUGAUACUGCUACAUAGAGUUGACCAUGUGUGAAGACGUGCUUUGGUAAAUAUAGCCCCGCAUGUUUUAGCGACUACCCUUGACUCUUAUUUAUUGUCAUUGCAAAACAAACUGAUAUUGGGUAUUGCCUCCUUUUCGACACAAAUGGCCAUUUUGAGUCACUUGGUGACAUAAUAAACCUUGGAAUAUAUACCUUGUUUCCAAUGUUUGUUCCUGUCAUCAUUUGAGCUUCUAUGAACCAUUUGCCUAGGUGUGUUAUAGUUAGUCUCGUACCAUUGCAUAAGCCCUCUCUUUGGUUGAUAUUCCGUAGCAGCAUAACUGGCAGUCCAACUUUCAGCCGUAUUUCGUGGUCUGGUAUUCCAGGGCACUUAAAGCUAUUCUGGAAUUCUGUUGGGUACAAAUGAUCUCCAUCUUAUGAAUUUGACAUUCCUUUGCACACUAUAUCUGAGCUUCGAUAGGUUACCUCUUCACCUUCUAUUCUACCCAUGAUAUAAGAAUUUACCUCAUCGACCAGCUAUUGUUGAUGCAACCAUGUUUUCUGCUAACUCAUGAUUUAAUUGUUGGGCCUCUUUUUCAAAAAGAACGCAAGAUGCAGACUCUCGAGUCACUAAGUUCAAGCUUAAUCUUAUAUCUGCAAAAUAUGUAGUGAAUUAAUUUAAAAAUUAUUCUAUUAAAACUAUUAAGAUAGAGAUAUGUUAAAUUUUUUACCGUGGUUUGGGUUGAGCUUUCCUAUCGCAUUUGGUACAAUAGUAGUAAUCAAUUCUCUUUUCAAGUCGCUUCUUGCAAUUAUUUCCGCUGCAUGAUAUGUAGUACCAACCAUAUCUUGCAUUAACAUCAUUAAUUACUGCUUCCAUGGUAAAUAUACUUCUUUGUAGAGUAAUAUAAAUAUAUUUAUGCUUCUGUGUGGGAAAAAACAAUUCAUUAUUAUCGCUGGAUUACAAACCUGAUUUGAUGAGUCUAACAGAAUGCCAUUUAACUCUUCUAAAGUUUUUCUAUUGUAGCGCAUUUGCUCUUCCAGUGUCCCUUUUAGAUGGUUCUCCUCAAACAUGUAGUUCUUUGAUAUAUUUUUGGAACAAAUGUUAUUUGGAGACAAAAAGUUAUGAGCCAGGGUAAGUAGUACUGACAUUGACGUUAAAUGGGCAAUAUUUGUAGGAAUUUUGCUUACCUAUUUUGUACAUCCAUACUCUCAGGAAUAUCUAAAUUUAUAAAAACUUGAGUUGCACUAUUUGACGAUAGAGAAUAUCCUGCAUAGUGGUUCAAAUAAUCAUUUUCCUAUGUAAAACCAAACAGAGAGAUAAUAAAAUAAGUAAUUAAAAUUUGAAAGAAGACAUACUGCCAAAUUUCCUCACUGUUGUCGAUGUACUUGUAAUGACAUUCCCUAUUGACUUGACAUCAAUUAGAUCAGCUGUCUCUGUCAACAAAAAGUAAAACAUGAAGACAUGACAUGAGAAACUUCGCUGCAAAUAAGAUGUAUUUUUUGGCUUACUCGAUUAGAAGGAAAAUAUCAUGGAUUCUGGAGGGCCCAAGAUAUGUUUUAGUUUCUUCACUUGGUCCUAUGUGUGUUGCAGAUGGCAUUUUAUACAUGUCAUGAAGAAGUAUGGCAUAUUGUAUCUUAAAAGUUCAUUGAUAUCAUACCUAAGAGAUAAGUGUCAAUGCUUACUCUUUGGGAGAGUACCUCCACGCUUGAGAAGUUGAAACCAUGCUUUGGAAUGUCUUCAUUAUCUUCGUUCAGUCUCCUCUAUAUUUCUUGUGGGUGAGAAGUUAAUCAUCAUCUCAUAUAGGAUUUUGCUGCUGCUGGAAUGACUCACAUUUUUAAUGAGGAGAGCUAUUUGUCCAAACCUUUGUGAUUAGACCCGAUCGGACAGGACGGCGGCCCGUUUGUGAUGGGAGCGAGGGAAGGUGCUAUCCGUUGCGGACGAUGAGAGAUGUUGUAGAAGUUGUUGUCGACAGCAUGAAGCCGGAGAUGCGUGCUAGAAGAAUUAAGAUCUAUGGGAUGGCCUUGCGCCGAGGAGAUAGCCUGGAGAACGGAAAACACCUAAUGUGUACGUA